AGCUACAAAAUUUGACGGGUUUGAAUCUUUUCUGGAAUCAGUUGUCAGGAGAGAUACCAGCAAAUAUAAGCCUCAUUCCUACACUGGAAACCUUCAAAGUUUUUAGCAAUCAAUUGAGUGGAGUUUUACCUCCAACAUUUGGCCUUCAUUCGGAGCUCAAACUCUUUGAGGUUUCCGAGAAUAAACUAAGCAGGGAAUUACCUCAACAUUUAUGCGCUAAGGGGGCUUUGCUUGGAGUGGUCGCUUCCAACAACAAUCUCAGCGGGGAAGUGCCCAUGUCCCUCGGGAAUUGCACAAGUUUGCUCACCAUUCAGCUUUCCAACAAUUGUUUUUCAGGCGGGAUUCCUUCCGGCAUUUGGACAUCCCCGGACAUGGUAUCAGUGAUGUUAGAUGGAAACUCAUUCUCAAGGACACUUCCAAGUAAAUUGGCAAGGAAUUGUCUAGAGUGGAGAUCACUAACAGCAAGUUUUAUGGUCCAAUUCCUGCUGAAAUCUCUUCCUGGAUGAACAUCUCUGUGCUCAAUGCCAGCAACAAUAUGUUGUCUGGAAAAAUUCCAGUGGAAUUGACCAGUCUUUGGAACACCACUGUUCUGUUGCUUGAUGGGAAUCAAUUCUCGGGUGAACUUCCAUCCCAGAUCAUCUCAUGGAAGUCGCUCAAUAAGUUAAAUCUCUCAAGAAACAAACUUUCUAGCCUAAUUCCCAAGGCAUUAGAUUCUUUAACUAGCCUUAGUUACCUCGACCUGUCAGAAAACCAGUUCUCAGGUCAAAUUCCUCCUGAACUUGGCCAUUUGAACCUUAUUAUCCUCCAUCUUUCGUCCAACCAACUCUAUGGGAUGGUCGCCAUUGAGUUUCAACAUGAAGCAUAUGAAGACAGUUUCUUGAACAAUCCCAAGUUGUGUGUCAAUGUUCCCUCUCUGAACCUCCCUAGAUGUGAUGCCAAACCUGUCAACUCCGACAAAUUGUCAACCAAAUAUCUCGUUAUGAUCCUAAUUUUUGCUCUAUCUGGUUUCCUAGCUGUUGUUUUCGUCACCCUGUCCGUGGUUCAUGUCUAUCAUAGGAAGAAUCACAGUCAGGAGCAUACAGCUUGGAAAUUUACUCCAUACCAUAAACUAGAUCUCGAUGAAUACAACAUAUUGUCCAGUUUGACAUAAAAUAAUCUGAUCGGAUGUGGUGGGUCAGGGAAAGUAUACCGAAUUGCUAAUAAUCGUUCUGGUGAACUCUUAGCGGUUAAAAUGAUUUGUAAUAACAGGAGAUUGGAUCAAAAGCUUCAGAAACAAUUCGAAACAGAAGUCAAGAUAUUGAGCACCAUACGCCAUGCCAAUAUAGUGAAGUUGUUGUGUUGCAUAUCAAAUGAAACCUCAAGUCUUCUUGUUUACAAGUACAUGGAGAAGCAGAGUUUGGAUAGAUGGCUUCAUGGGAAGAAGCAAAGAACAUCGUCCAUGACAAGUUCAGUUCAUAACUUCGUCUUGGAUUGGCCAACAAGGUUGCAGAUUGCCAUUGGACCUGCAAAAGGCCUAUGCCACAUGCAUGAAUACUGUUCUGUCCCAAUCAUACAUCGAGAUGUGAAGUCCAGCAACAUCUUGCUAGAUGCCGAGUUCAAAGCGAAAAUUGUGGAUUUUGGAUUGGCUAAGACGUUGGUCAAGCAAGGAGAACCCAACACCAUGUCAGGAAUUGUAGGCUCUUACAGGUAUAUUGCCCCUGGUAAGACCAUCAAGGCCCUCCUUUCCACAUGUUUUCAUUUCCAUAAUUUAUCGAUAAUUUGUAUCAUACCAUUCUCGUAUACUUGGAUCAUAGAGUAUGCUUAUACAACAAAGGUGAACAAGAAGAUCGAUGUAUAUAGCUUUGGAGUAGUCUUGCUUGAGCUUGUGACGGGAAGAGAACCCAACAAUGGGGACGAGCACAUGUGCCUUGCAGAAUGGGCAUUGGAUCAGUUUAGAGAAAGGAAAACCAUUGAGGAAGUGGUAGACGAGGAGAUCAAGGAACAAUGUGAUAGAGCACAAGUGGCCACUCUCUUCAAACUAGGCAUUAGGUGCACUAACAAAUUACCAUCCAAUAGGUCCACAAUGAAAGAGGUUUUGAAAAUUCUUCAACAGUGCAGUCCUCAAGAGGGCCAUGGAAGAAAUAAAAAGGACCAUGAAGUUGCACCUCCACUUCAAAAUGGCACUUAUCCCACCACUUACAAGUUGUGAGGAUAAAGCCCUUAAAAACAUGAUAUUAUGUAAUAAAUUUGGAACUCAUUAUUUAUUUAACGAUGUUCUGAUUUCACUUUUAUCUAUUCUUAUUCCAUGUAUUAUACUUUAUGAGCAUUCUUGUCUGCAUCUUUUGCAUUGCACGUAACUUAGGUGCAUUAAAAGUUGCACAGAAGAUCUAGGUCAUGGGUUCCUCGCAAAUAUAUGACUUGUUCACAACCAGUUCAUGGGUCUAGGAAGCCCAUUAGAGGUUGUAAAAAACCACUUCCUAAUUGGAAGAAUGGCUAGUCUUAGCUAUUGGGAUGAGUUUUCCAUGAUAAGUGCAUUAGUGUGUAUGGUUACAUAUUGGACAAGACCUAUGGUGAAUCAUGACUUAAGGUUAUCAAGCAGUCAUGACCUCAUCAAACUGCUUCAUUGUGUUGUCUCUCAACCUUGAGAGAAUAUUGAGCUUGUACUAAAGUUAGCAAUGACUUUGACAUACAGGUGAGAUCGUAAGUUGAUCAUAUAUUCCCUAUGGAUUGAGUCACUGUUGAUGGAAGAUGGUAGCGAUAGGUAUUUUCAAUAAAAACACCAUGAUGUUUCUUGGGAUUAAGACAAUGUGCCCCUUUUGGUGAUCUUAAAGAGGUGUGUUCAUGGAAACUAUGGUCAUAGUAGUUCCUUAAGUAAAAAUCGACAUAGGCUCUUUGAGAGGUAAGACAUGUCAAUUGAAUACACAAUAGGAGGAUUUAUAACUCAAGGAUGGUAGAGGUAGUCUUGAAAGACUAAUAACUUUCACUUUGUUAGACUAUGAAUAUCAGUUCAUGGGAAGACUAAACACAAUAAAUAGCAAGUCACAAACCUGAACAUUUGGUAUCUCAUUGUUAUUUUCAAUAAAAUAACAAUGAGAUGGUAAGUUGAUCAUAUAUACCCUAUGGAUUGGGUCACUGUUGAUGGAAGAUGGUAGCAAUAGGUAUUUUCAAUAAAAGCACCAUAAUAUCUCUUGGGAUUAAGACAUUGUGCCCCCUUGGGUGAUCCUAAAGAAGUGUGUUCAUGGAAACUAUAGUCAUAGUAAUUCCUUAAGUAAAACUCAACAUAAGCUUUUUGAGAGCUAAGACAUGUCAAUUGAAUACACACUAGGAGGAUUUCUAACUCAAGGAUGAUAGAGGUAGCCUUGAAAGACUAAUAACUUUCACUUUGUUAGACUACGAACAUCAGUUCAUGGGGAGACUAAACACAAUAAAUAGCAAGUCACAAGCUCGAGCAUUUGGUAUCUCAUUGUUAUUUACAUAGGAUACCGGAGUUCAAUUGAUUCUUUGUAGUGGGAUGUUGAAUCAACUUUAGAAUUGGAUUUUGAGAGAGUCGGUAUUCCUAUGGGUCCCAAUGGUCCUUACUCUAAGCUUAUAUACUUUGUUGGCAAGGAUUAUAAGAGUCGGAUUAGCUCUAGGUUUACUUUUGUACAUAAGGGCAUUUUGAUAAUUACGCAAGGUUACACAAAGGUAAAUGAACAAGGUUUUUAGAUUGGGUUAAUUGAUUAAUUAGUAGGCCCUGUUUGGUUAAUUAAUCAAUUAGGACUUUCUAUAUUAAGUGACCUAAGCCCUUAGUGGGCUCAAGUCACUUAAACCUAAUAGAAAACCCUAUAAAUACCCCCUUAAGGGUUAGAGUUUAUAUAGUUUUUCUAAAAAGCCAUCUUCUAUCUCUAAAGAGAAAGAGAAAGAGUCAUAGCAUCCACCCUCCCUUCUAUCUCCACUAGAAGUGUGUCGAUCAAGGUUCAAGUCAUUGGGAGGAAAACUUUGAAUUUACGAGACUUCUGCGAUUUCGUUCUUCAUUUUCACAAUGUGGAUUUGAUUCGAGAACAUCCGAAUUUGAGGUAUGGUUUUCAUUAGCACUUUUUGAAUCCCUUUAAAGUUUAAAAAUGUUAUUUUUCCGUUGUGCAUAGGAUUAAUUUAGAAAAUGCUUAGAAUAGUUAUGCAAGUUCCUAACCUGAUCUGAGCUUAGGAAAUGGAGAGAACCUAGUUUUUUCCCUUAAUGUUUGUGCUCCAAAGUGUUGAGAUAGUUUAGAGGGUGACAUGAUGAUUGACAUAAUACCUUAUGUGGAGAACCUAGUGAAUCCCUUCUCCAAGACAUUGAUAGGGAGAGUCUUUGUUAGUCACAUGGAUAGCAUAGGUUUUAAAUGAGUAUUUGGCAUGCUUUAAAGGCAUGAUGCUUUGAGGGCUAAUGGGAGAAUGUUAGGAUAAAGCCCUUAAAAGCAUGACAUGAUGUAAAAAAUUUGGAAUUCAUUAUUUAUUUAAUGAUGUUCUAGUUUCACUUUUAUCAAUCCUUAUUCCAUGUAUUAUACUUUAUGAGCAUUCUUAUUUGCAUUUUUUGCAUUGUACAUGACUUAAGUGCAUUAGGAGUUACAUAGAAGAUCUAAGUCAUGGGUUUCUUGCAAAUAAAUGACUUGUUCACAACUGAUUCAUGGGUCUAGGCAACCCACUAGAGGUUGUAGUGCAUCAUACCACCUUCUAAUUGGAGGGAUGACUAGUCUUAAUUAUCAGGAUGAGUUUCCCAUGGUGAGUGCAUUACUGUGUAUGGUUACACAUUAGACAAGACCUAUGGUGAGUCAUGACUUAAGGCUAUCAAGUAGUCAUGACCUUACCAACCAACUUCAUUGUGUUAUCUCUCAACCUUAAAAGAAUAUUCAGUUUAUACUAAAGUUAAUAAACUGAAGUUAGCAAUGGCUUUGACAUACGAGUGAGAUCAUAAGCUAAUCAUAUAUUCCCUAUGGAUUGGGUCAUUAUUGAUGGAAGGCGUGAAAGGCAGACGCCCGGGCACGCAAAGCCCGUCUCAACGAACGGGAGGAGAAAAGGCAAGAAGGAACUUUGCGGAAGGCUCUUGGUGAUAAACGCCCCGCAUCCCCUCCACCUGCUGGCGCACUAGAUAAAAAGAAGAAGAAGCAGGUUUUCAACAAGGGAAAAGAAAUAAAACUCUCAUCUCCCCCAAAGGAAGUUGUAAUACCACCUCCAACUUUCGUAAGAGGAAUAACAAUAAGAACGCCAGAUCUCUCCGUUUUGCCCUCUGUUUCAAGCGGCUCCAGACAUAUCGCGUAUCUAAAUGGAUCGGGGCCUUCAGUGCCAGUGCCAGCGGCUAGACGGCUGGCUCUUCUGGCUGAGGAAGCGACUUCAGUGAAUCAGCCCGACUCUCCUUAUCCGGACGCGAAUGUAGCCGGGGCCUCUUGUACUUAAACGUUGCUUCUUAUGGCGCCUUUAACGGAAGAAACAGGGGUUGAAAGUCAGGGUUUGCCUCAUUGCGAACCAAGCUUCCUUGCCCUUGUACCGGUGAAGGGGCCAGCUAUAAGGAGGUCUCAUCCGGCCCGUGAUUUAAAGUCUGGCAUUAGCGGGCGGCUUCAGGACAUUCUUCUGGAAACCAUCGAAGUCAGCUGCUCAUCCGCCCAGGAGGAUCAUCCGGAGGAGAGUGAGACGGAGAUGGCAGAAGAGAACCCAACCGCCCCGGUGCUGGUCCCGGAUGAGGGUUCACCCGAAGAGAUCCAGCCGGCCGUGAAUAAUGGGGCCCUAGAUCCGAGGGAGGAGUCACACCCUACCGCCUCGUCAAGGGGAAGUCUAGUUGAUGAUGCGGCUUGCAUCUCCGCUAGCCCUUUCAAUUAUGCGGAGUUGGGAGAGAUGCUGAAACGGAUUCCACCCGGCUCAGAUGUUGAUGUGCCUUCAGCAAAAAUGUUUGAAGUGGCGGAAAUGGUAUAGUUUUACUUCUUGAUUUUUCUUGCCAUACUGAUGUGUUUGUCACAUGGGUUGUAAUUUUGUACUUCUUGUUUGUGGGUUUUUCUGCAGCUGGUGAGCGGUAUUCGUGGCAUGGCUUAACAACAUGAUCUUUUUUCAGACCUGCUGCGUACUGCCGAUUAUAUGAAGGUCUUCGUCUCCCAUCGCAUAAACAGUAAAGAAGAACUGCGCUUGAGAUUGGAGCAGGCCGAAGCUAGUUUAUCCGCUGCCCGGAGGGCCUCUGAAGAGAGUGUCGAAGCUUUGAAGAAAUCCCAAGAGGACAACGAGGUUCUCCGGGUAGAGCUAGCUGAGCCAAAGAGUCGGGAGGAAUCUACAGACGCCCGUCUGCAUGAGGCGGAGGGUGAGAUGGCCCAGUUGAGGGGAGAAGUGAGGCAACUCCGGACAGAGGUGUCCAUUGAGAAAAAGCAGAGAGAGGACUUGCAGUUGCGUUUAUCAGCGCAAAAAGAAGAGUUCGAGGCUGAGUUUGCUGCGAAAAGGGAGGAACUCGAGACGAACUACCAGAAGUAGGUAGAUGAGAUGUAUAUCUUUGGCUACCGCUGUUGCAUGAAGAAGCAUGGCAUCAAACGGGACGUCCCUUCGAUUCCCCCGGGUGAGGAAGAAAAGUUGCGUCGCAAGCCCUCCCAAUGAGAGUUUUUCUUUUUUUAUCUUUUAUUGCUUUUUUCUUUUUGUAUUUUGUAGUCCGGAGAACCUUUUUUGUAUACAAUUUUCACAAGUAUUAAUAAAACAUACUCAUUCACAUUGUACUUGUAUCUUUCUUUCAUUAGUAAUACUGCUUUAAAUUGGACACAUUCCAUGGUCGGAGCAAUGGGGUUCCAUCUAGCUUUUGUAGAUGAUAGACUCCAUUUUCACUUGUCUUGGAUACUAUAUAGGGGCCUUCCCAAUUGGCUUGAAACUUUCCUGCUCCUGUCUCAACAGUGUUUUCGAAAACCUUCCUAAAGACCAGCAUUCCACUUUUGAAACUUCUGGGCCUUGCUUUGCGAUUGUAGUGAGCGGCUGCCCUUUGUUGAUAGUCUGCCAUCCGGAUGGAUGCGGUUUCUCUUACUUCGUCUGCCCAGUCCAAGUUUCUUCCUAACUUCGCACUUGCAUUAUCCUGACUUCCUGCCUCGGUCCGGAUAGUGGGUAGCCCUAUUUCAGUAAGAAUGACUGCGUCCAUACCGUAUGCGAGGGCGAAGGGAGUGUUUCCUGUCGGACGUCCGGGUGUGGUUCGAUAAGCCCACAGGACGCCGGGUAGCUCCUCUACCCAUUUCCCUUUGGCUUGCUCGAGCCUCUUCUUUAAGGCAGUUAUUAGGGUCUUGUUUGUGGCCUCUGCUUGUCCAUUGCUUUGAGGAUAACGCGGUGUGGAGUAUGCAUUUCGGAUGUUUAGUUCCGAAUAGAAAUCCCGAAAAGUUUUGCUAUCGAAUUGUGGACCGUUGUAGGCUAUAAUGGUUUGGGGGAUUCCAAAGCGGCAGAUGAUGUUCUUCCAUACGAACUUGGUGACAUCUUUGUCUUUGAUGCUAGCGUAUGCUUCUACUUCCACCCAUUUACUGAAGUAAUCCAUGGCGACGAGUAGGAAUUUUUUCUGGGCAGCUGCGGCUGGUAGGGGUCCUACUAUGUCCAUGCCCCACUGCGCGAAAGGCCAGGGACCUGAAAUUGGUUUCCACGUCUCCGACGGCACAUGUGGUAUGGGGACAUGCCUUUGACAUUUGUCACAUUUUUUUACGUAGGCUGCCGCAUCCUUUUUCAUCGUGGGCCAGUAAUACCCUUGCGAAUAGGCCCUGUGCGCCAGAGAUCGACCUCCAGAAUGAUUUCCACAUACUCCCUCGUGCAAUUCAGCUAAUACAUACAGGGCCUCUUAGUGGUUUAGGCACCGGAGAUAGGGACCUGUGAAGGACUGUUUAUACAAAUGCCCCCCAAUCAGGGUGAAACGGGCGGCUUGUAGCUUGUGUGUCUGCUUGGGCUCUUCGAGCAGAGUGCCUGUCUGGAGGUACCUUAUAAUGUCUUCCGUCCACUCUUGGCCGUCUGCUUGGUUUGCCUCAAUGGUAUUGCAAAUGGAAGCUUCUGUGACGGAAGGGUUGACUUGCACAUGUAUAGGCAACAAUAUGGCUUCUUUGAUGGGGAGGGAGGCAGCUAUGCCUGCCAGGGCGUCGACACGUCCAUUUUCAGCUCGUUUAAUUUUUUCGAUCGUCCAUUCGGUGAACCGUUGUAAGGUGUCCCUUACUUUAGUCAGAUACAGUGCCAUGCGCGCAUUCUUAGCUUCGUAUUCCUUUUGGACGUGCCUUACCACGAGUUGAGAAUCACUAUAGACCCGGAGCCUUGAGACGGAUAGAGCCAGGACGAGGUCCAAUCCGAAUAGAAUGGCCUUAUACUCCGCUUCAUUGUUAGAGACGGGAAACCCCAGCCGGAUGGCUUGCUCCAGAUGUUCUCCUGUUGGGGACUAUAGCAGGAGCCCUACUCCGGAUCCUGAUGAUCAGGAGGUUCCAUCGACCCGCAAAGUCCACCACUCUUUUUCACUUGGUUCCUUGUGCUGGGUAGGCUUUUGGGAGUAUUCCAGCACAAAGUCAGCCAUCACUUGACCUUUCAUGGACAACCUGGGUUGGAACUCAAUUCCAUAUUCGCUCAACUCUAUGGCCCAUUGAAGCAUUCUUCUGGUUAGGUCCGGCUUAUGCAAAAUGUUGCAAAGAGGUUGGUCUGUUAGCACGACCACCGGGUGGGCUUGGAAGUAAGGGCGGAGCUUCUAGGCGGCACUUCAAAGAGCUAAGGUCAUUAGCUCCAUCUUUGAAUACCUGGUUUCUACGUCCGUCAACGCUCUGCUGACGUAGUAGAUAGGUUUCUGCUCCUUAGGUGAGGAGCAGCAGAAUAGAACAACGCUAAUUGCUCACUCCGAUACAGCCAAAUACAUAUACAAUUUUUCUUCAGGGAGGGGGUUGCUUAGGAUGGGCGGUUGCAUGAGGCAGUGUUUAAUUUUUUUCAAAAGCGCUCUAACAGCUGUCUGUCCAUCCGCUUGCUCCAUUUUUUCAUAUUGCCAAGAAGAAAGGUCGCAGUUCAUCAAUGAAGCGGGCUAUAAAGCGUCCUAGCGCGACGAGCUUGCCUAUGAGGCGCUAUAAUUCCUUCUUGCUCCUGGGGGGUGGUGUUUCCAUGACUGCCUUGACUUGAUCCGGGCUGACCUCUAUCCCCCUUUGGCUGACCAUAAAUCCUAGGAAUUUGCCAGCACUUACGCCAAAGGCGUAUUUAGAAGGAUUCAACCUCAUGUCAUACUUCUUUAAGAGGUGGAAGACUUCUUGCAAGUGGAGGACAUGUUCCUCUCGGGUUUUGCUUUUAACCACGAUAUCGUCAAUAUAUACCUCUACUGUGCGGCUGACCAGAGGUUUGAAGAUCUUUGUCAUCAGUCUCUAAUAAGUGGCGCCAGCGUUUUUGAGUCCGAACGGCAUGACUUUGUAGCAAUAAAGGUCGUGUGGUGUUAUGAAGGCUGUCUUUUCUUCGUCAGCCAGGGACAUGGGGAUUUGGUGGUAUCCGGAGAAGGCGUCCAAGAAGGAAAGCAUCCCUUGCCCAGUAGUGGAGUCCACAAUUUGAUCUAUCCGUGGCAAAGGGAAACUGUCUUUUGGGCAUGCAUUAUUGAGGUUGGUGUAGUCGACGCACACCCGCCAUUUGCCUUCUUUUUUGGGUACCACCACUACAUUUGCCAACCAGUCCAGGUAAUCCACUUCUCUGAUGAAUCCGACUUCUAACAAAUUGUCAAUCUCAUUCCAGAUAAUUUUUUGUCUGUCCGGGUGAAAACGUCUAACCCUCUGUCAGACGAGUCUUGCUAUGGGCAAGACAUUAAGCUUAUGGGAGACGAUGGAGGGGUGAAUCCCCUUCAUAUCAUAAUGCGCCCAUGCGAAAAUGUCAUGGCUUUGUUGGAGGGCGUUUUGGAUGUUCCGGGUCUCUUCUAGAGUUAGGAGAGAACUGAUAUAUGUAAGGUGAGUAAGUACCUUCUUUCGAAAUUUGGAUCGCCUGCAAGGGAUCCGCUUCCGGGGGAUCUUUGUCUGUCAGACUCAAUAAUUGCUAUUGGUCACGUGCAUGGCUGGACUCAGGGAGGGAUGCAUCCUCCUGGCUGGUCUCUGCUUCUCGUGCUAUCUAGUAGCAUUGGUGAGCAGCUAACUGGCUGCCGUAUAAGUCAAUUUGCCCAUCCUUGGUAAGGAAGCUUACCAUUUGAUGAUAUGUAGAGGGGAUGGCUUUCAUGUAGUGCAGCCAUGUGCGCCCCAAGAUGACAUUGAAGGAUGAUAAGUCUUGUACCACCAAAAAUUGUACGUUGAGAAUGACUAGGUCAGCUUGGACCGGCAGUACAAUGUCUCCCAAUGAAGUAGUUGACGCCCCGUUGAAUCCGGACAAGAUUCGCCCAGGUUUUUCGAGGCCUGUGAGACUGUGCCCCAUGUGGCUAACGACCGAUGCUUGUACAAGAUCGGCCAAGCUGCACGGGUCAAUUAGGAUGCGUCGCACGUCGAAAUCUCCUAUCUCUAGGGACAGGAUGAGGGCGUCGCGGUGCGGCUGUAAUAUCCGGGUGGGGUCUACUGGUAGGAAAAUGAUUGUCCCAUCUAUGGGGCGAGGGCCCCCCCAGUUAUCCUAGGCCGGAUGGAGUUGACACACUCGCGCACCGAUGCUGGUCGCAACAACUUUUGUCUCUUUCGUUUGGAAUCGUACUCCUCGUCGGAUGGGCCUCCGUUAAUAUAGUUUAUAACGGCUUUAGAGGUGGUUGGGGCCCUAGGGGCUCCAGAGUUGUGAUUUCGAGAAGCGUCUUCACCUCUGGCAUCUGAGCGGAGGUAUUGCUUUAAAUGUCCCGCCUUUAUGAGCCUUUCGACCAAAUGAUGGAGACACCUGCACGCCUCCGUUGUGUGACCAUGCUCCUUAUGGAAGACACCUGAACUCUCCUCUGGGAUUCAGCAAUUUAUGAAUGUAUCUUUAGGCCCAUGUAGAUAAAUCCAUGCUUGGUGGUAGUAUGCUUAUUGAUGAUAGUCUAGAGAUGUGGAAAUCAAAUGAUUCUGAUGAACUAAAUUUGAUGCGUGAUGAGAUAGAUGACGUGUUAUCUAAGGAUCACAAAGUUCAUCAAUAGAAACUCGUUUGAUGAUGCGUCAAUCUGAUGGAGAGAAUCCGUUGAUAAAAAAUGAUGAAAUGCCAAUUUGAAGAUAAUGACUGCGAUUCAUCUCCGAAGAUGAAUCUAAUGAGAACGUUCAGGAUUCAGAAAUGGAGAGCUAUAAUGGCAGUGGUGAUUUGCAACAACAUCGAUCUCUGGUGGCAGUGACAGCAAACUCUAAUGGUGGUAAACUACGCCGACAGAGACAAUCUCCAUGAAUUGCGCAACAAACUUCAAUGGCGAUCUCCAGUGGUGGUGAUGAAUUCUCCUACAACAAUGAACUCUCAUUCUCCUGUAGAGAUGAACUCUCAGAUGUCGGUGAAUUAUUUUUAUAUAUUUUUUUAAUAAAUUUUAAAUGAAAUAAAAUAAAUAAAUAAAUUUUAAAUCAAUAAAUUAAUUUUAUAUAUUUUUUUAAACUCAUUUAACUUAUUUUAAAUUUUCAAUUAUAAAAUUAAAUAAUUUGAAAAUAUAUAAAUUUAUAACUAAUUUUAAUUAUAUUUUAUUUUCUUUUAUAAUUUUCAUAUAUAGUAUAACCAAUACCAAUGUUUUCAAAAUCAGACCGCUGCUUGAACCGGAAAAGUUACCGGUUCACGAUUCACGAUUCACGAUUCAUUAAUUGAACUGGUGGUCAAACCGUAGUCAAAUCAAUGACAUCAUAAAUAAUAAUUUUUUUCUUUUUUCUCACUAACUAAUCCCACAUCGGAAAUGGAUAAAAAAUAUGUAGGAAUUGUGGUAUAAAAGGCAAGCUAGAAUCAUUAACUUGCAAGACUAAAAGCUUAUUGGGCUUGAUGACAAACAAGUUGGAUGGGCUCCUCAUGGAGUGAUCCGGUUCUCUUAUGGUAUCAAAACCUUUUUUUUUUUGUUUUAAAAUAAAUAAAUAAAUAAAUUGUUCGGUUCGCUAAGAAUCGCCUGGUUGGGGCGGUUCACUAGCUCAACCACUGGUUUGAUGCCCAAACGGUUUUUUGGGUGGACCAAACUGGUUUUGUUACCGAUCGGACCAACUGGUCCGGUCCAAUUUUUAAAUCAUUAUCAAAUACAAUAAAAUAAUUUUUUUUAACAUUUUUUUUAUUUUUUUAGUACUUCUCAAAAAUCAAACAUAAUCAUAAGACUAAUCAUAUUUUUUAUCAUAAUAUCAUUCGAAGACAAUGCCCCAAGUGAGAAUCCCAAAACUUUUCAAUGUUUUACUAAUAUUAAGAUUUUGAAAAUCUAUACAAUUUAUUUUUCUUUUUCUUUUUUUAAUAUUUGGAUGAUAGUGCAUGAGUAUACAAGAAAGGUCAACGCAAAGAUCAAUGUCUACAAUCUUGAAAUUGCACUUCCAGAGUUGGGCCCUAAAAGAGAACCCAAUAAGGGGAAGGGGCAGCGUAUAAACCUUGUUCAAUGGGCAUGAAAACACCUUGGAGAAGGAAAGUCAUUCCUCUACCGGUUGACUAAUAAUUUGAUGGUAAUGACAGUAGUUCGGAUCAUUAACAUGACUCAUUUCUUCUAAACAUUUGCACUUAGGUAGCUCAAUAACUUUUUUAUGGAAUAGGUCUUCCAACAUGUUAGGCACAUCAGAGUCAGGAAAAUGAUAUUUCUUAUCCUUUAAUUCCUUCAAGGUGAAUCGACGCCUCUCAUUUUCCUAAAUUGGUCUAGUCUCUCUUACUUCCUUCUUUUUAUCUCGUGCUGAGAUUUUGAUGGGCGUUAUAUUUACUGUCAUUGACUUGUGGAUGGGUUUUAUUGAGGCCCGAUCACUUGUUUUCUCAUCAUGUCUCUCUCUUUACCGAUCAACAAUUAAUAAGGUCUUUUUUAGCACCAUGGUUAGCUAUGUUGAGCUUCAUGUCAUGUGCUCAAGUAGUUAACUGUUCAAAAAUGUGAGGUCAUAUCCCUUAGAGGAUGUACAAAACACCCCAAUGCAUUCCUUGUAUGCACAUUUCCAUGGCUGAUACAUCAAAUAAUCUAUCUUUGUAGUCGAAACUUAAAGAACGCCAAUGAUUGACGUAGUUUACGACCGGCUCAUAUUUCCAUUGCUUAGUAUUAGUAAGCUCCAUCAUGCUUACAGUCCGUCGGGUGCUAUAGAAAUGGUUGAGGAAUUUGCAUUCCAUUUGGCUCUAACUAUCGAUACACUUAGGUGUAAGGUCUAUGUACUAAUGAAAGCAUUCCCUCAAAAGGAACGAACAAAUUGUUUAACUAACAAGUCACUAUGUGCACUUGCAUUGUUAGAAGUUUUAACGAAAUGACAUGUUGUUUUGGAUUUCUCUUCCCAUAAAAUGAUUGAAACUUUGGAGGUUGAUAACCUACAAGCAUACAUAGGUUAUCAAUCCUCUUAGUGUAAGGUUUAGAGUACAUAAGUGUACUCUGUGAGGGUCCAUCGUACCGCACUCUAAUGGUGUUAGUUAUUAUGUCUUGAAGUUGCUAGACAGAUAACAACUCCAUCGAGGCAAAUUCCAUCAUUUUUCUUUCGACUUGCACUGUUCUAGAUGCAUGUGGUGCAUCAUCGAGAAGAGAUGCAACAUUCAAAAGGUGGUUAAGUCUUUAACUUGACUCACUUGUAUUUUGUACUUGUGCCUCAACCUUGUUUAUGAGAGAGGCUAUCUGCAUAUCAUUCUCCUCGACUAUCGUAGUGAAUUUGGUAAUGGUGUCAGUCAUCUCUACCAAUUGUUCCUCUAUAGAUGUAGUACCAACUGUCAUUACCGGCAUAGUCAUUGAGAUGAGAAAAAUAAAAUAGUCGAAAUGAUUGGAGUAGUUUUCCUCAUUCGACAUUCCAAUUGGUGAUUCGGAGUGUGAGCUGGUGCUAGAGUUAAUAUUGGUAAUAAAGCAAGGAGACUCAUCCCGAAAGUCCUUUAGUGCUAAAGAGAGUUUUCCCCUACUAUGAGGAUUGUGGCUCUUUGCCCCUAAGGAGGCCAAAGUGAUGAAUGGUUGGUGUUCAUCAUGUGUCCUUACCGAUUUUAGUAGACAAGUAGACCUAUUUAUUUCGUUGAAAGUGAAGAUGUUGAUUUUGAUUUGCUACGAGUCAUGGGACCCAUAGCAGUGUUGUGUGUUGAUUAUGCAAUGAUGAUCUUGUCAUUGUCCUUGUUGACAUGCACAACUUGAGUUCUUUUGGAUAUCAUCAACGUAGUAGAGAUCAAUCUUCUAACAAAAGAUAUGAGAGGCAGAGAGAUCCCAUCAAACAUGCUAGAAAUUUGUAUGCACAAAUUUCAUAAAGGUCCUGCAAAAUUAGCAAAACAAUACGAAAAUAAUGUGAACAAAAUAUUUAUCAAAAUUAAAAAUAUUGUGGUAUAAUAUAAAAAAUAAUACUCUUUACAAAACAAUAUUUUUUUCUCUAAUUUUUUUUGCCUUGAUCACAAUUUGAAAGACGACAAUGUCGUUUUCUUAUUUUGAAGAUUAAUUGAGGGCCACAAGUGACUUAUUCCUAAAUGAACACGUUGAAUGAUGAAGAACGCAUGUAGCAAUUCUAUCAUUUGCCGAACCUAUAGGGAGAUUCGAUGAUUUUUUUUUUUUUUUUUUUUUGUAAAGCCUUUUUUCCCAUACAAAGUUACCUCUAGAUUUUCUUCUUUAGGAUUUUCUUUUCUAGAUUUUUCUAAUUUUUGAGUUUCUCCCAUUUCUUGAAAGAAUUCACCUCUAUUUAUAGGUGAAGGUAGGAAAUUCGAAUUUUGAAUUCCCAAAUUUUAGUUGCUUAAUUCAAGGAAUUUAGUUAACUUUUCUUCUUGAGAAGGUUUCUCAUGAUGAUGAUGAUGAUAAUAAUAAUAAUAAUAAUAAUAAUAAUAUUUUUUUAAUUAUCAUUAUUAUUAUAUUUUCGAUUUUUUUAGGAAACUUAUUCGUAAUAGGAUAUUUAUUUAUUUAUUUAUUUUGAAUAUCAAAUUAGUGGUAAUUAAUCCACUAAAAUUUUUAUGUCUACAUCCUUAUCCACAAGUGUAGAGACAAAUAUGUCGUAAGUAAAUAAACUAUGAAUGACUUCAUUUGAGCUUAAAAUAAUAAAUUAAGCAAAUAAGCAUGUAGUAAAAUUAGAACUUACGACCCUCCUACUAAAUAAAGCUCUAAUAAUAUGUUGGAUAAUUGAUUUUUUUAAAAGCUUAAACUUAAGAUUUGCAUCCCGAUGGAUGUGCAUCAUGUUUUCUAAUAAUAUAUCACAUACUUUUCUAGAUUUUAUGUUAGACUUGUGAUUACUUCUCUAAAUUAAUUUUUCAGCAUAUUGUAUAUAUGCAUUUGUUAGGAUGAAUCAAUUAUCAAUCAAUGCAGAAAUACAAGUACUCCUCAUAGAGCCUCUCUACUUAUUUCCACUACAACAGCUUAGUUGGUUGAACUUAAAAGAAUUCCUAAGUGCUUUCACAAAUGUUUUGAACUUCAAACCUGCACAAAGAUGGAAACCAUAUCAUUGAAAUAAUUAAAACAAAUCAACUGAAAUCAAACUGCUAUUGCCUUGUUUAAAAAUUUAAAGAAAAAAACAAAAAAAAAAUCAUGGGCUUUUACGCAAAACUUAACAGUAGGGUUCCCAAAGUUCAUUAUUCAGAAUACUAACAAGUGUCAUGUAUCAGUUCAACUCGGCACCUUCUUCCAUAAAUAAAUUAUAUUUGCUUUGGAAGAAAACUUGAGUUUUGAACAAAUAUAAUAUAUUUGAAAAAAAAAUCCAUAAAAUGGAUCUUCAAUCAAAAUAAUUCUCAAAAUAGUGUAUUUGUACUUGGGCAUCCAAAUAGUUUGAGAAUAUUUUUUAUGUGAUAAAAUCCUAAUUGAUAACUAUGAUUUUAAUUUAUUUUUUUUAAAUAUAAAACCGCUGUUGGUAAUUAUAGUUUUAACCAUUUUAAAAGAAAAUUCAAAAUCAUAAUUAACAACUAUAGUUUUAUAAGGUGGAUAUGUUAGCUCUUUUCUUAUAAUGUGUGAUCAUAUAUAAUUAUAUUUGUGUAAAUAUUAUUUAAGAGUAUCAAUUGAUAGAUAGGUGAAUCAAUUGAUUGGGCAUUCAAGAGUCUUAUGUAUGGAAGACUCAAAUUAUAAAUGGGGAGUUAGAAAAUUUAAUUUAUAUGAAUGUGGUGUUUAUAACCCCAUCAUUAUGAAAUUUAUUUUGUACAUUAUAUUUAUGAGUAAUAGAGGAAAAUGAAAAACUAUAACCUAUGCAUUUAUAUAAAUGCAUUCAAGUUCAUAACUCACCAUUACCCAUUAAUUUGUACAUAAUAGGUGUAAAUAAUGAGUAUAACUCUCGUAUAAUCUUUUAUAAGAAGACUAAGAGAUGUACAACUUUUUAUAAGUUAAGGUCUCAAGUCACAUUCUCAUUCUUAUGUCAUUUUGUUGUUUUAUUUUUUAACAACAUACACCACAUAAGUGACUCAUCCACUAUAUGAGAGUAGUGAGUUGAAGACUUUGACAAUACAAUUCACAAAAUGAUUCAAUUUCACUUCAAAAAUGAUAUUGAUAUUAUGGAUCAAGGUAAGAAUAUGAUCAUUAUUUUAAUAUUUAUAUUUAUUUUGUUUUAUGCAUUCAAAAUUAUUUUUUUUUAAAUAAUGAUUUCCACAUAAAGUUUAUAAAAGUUUAGUUAACAGGAAACCCAUGUGGAUGAGAUGCACUAAAAUUAUUCUGAGAUGGAAUCUAACCUGUGGAAUUUUUUUUAAAUAAAUUAUUUUUGUUCAAAACUUAGAAAAAAAAACUUGUUGAAAACUAAAUUCAACUAUACACUUUCGUAUUUUUCUUUUUAUAAGAUCAAAUCCACGUUAUCACUUUUCCACUAGAAUCCUCAUGAUUAAUUGUAGAAUUCUUGAGAUGAAAUGAAAUGGUUGUUGAAACUUCAGUUUUCAAUCUUGAUCAAUGUUGUCCCUUCCCUUAGCUGUGCAUUAUUCCAAUGCCAGUUUUUCUCCACAAACUUAGUCCAGAGACAAGAUUAGAUUCCGUGUGGAACCAUUCAUGUGUGGAUCCCGUUGUGAGACUUGACCAUCAAUAUCCUUCUCUCCAUUUGUGGGGUACUGCCCACGUGACCACUGCUUUGGAAAUUUGAGUAACACACCUAAAUUCUCAAAGACCCAAAACUACAGAUUUCUGCUUCAUCUUUCUCCUCAUUCAUGUGCACCUUUUCAAAGUAUUCAGUGGAGAUUGGCCCCAUCAGUCACGUUUUCCAUAAUGCAUGGUUACGUCACCAUCCAUUUGCUAAGUUGUCAUGCCUUUUUUCUACACCAACUCAGAAACCCCACCCGGCUGGUAUGGUUUUCAUUUUUUAUUUAUUUAUUUUUUUUAACCAAUAUAAAUAAGGCAUGAACCCAUCCAUUUUCAUAUCUGUACCUAAUGUUAAUAUUAAGUGAUUCUACUUAAAAAUACUUUUAGUUUAUAUUAUUAUUAUCUGUAAUACUUUUAUUAUUUAGAGAUAAUUACUUAAUAUUUAAAUAUAUAAAUAAGAAAAAAAAUUCAAAAAAACAUCCAUCAAUAUAUAAUAUAACAAAUUAUUGUCUUUAAAACCUAAUUUUUAGCAUAAAAAAAAGGUAUUUUAUCUCACUCAAAGUUACUCCCAAAUCAACUCUUAAGGAUUGUUUGAAAUUGCAAAUUUAACUUUUAUAUUGAUAAAUAAAAGAGGUAAAAGUAAUUGUUAUGUUUGAAAAUUAUAUGUCAAAAAUAUUGUUAUUAAAGAGAAAGAUAAUUUUGAAAUUUUUAGUUAAAUAAAAAUUUUCUAAAAUAUAUAUAUAUAUAUAUAUAUAUAUAUAUAUAUAUAUAUAUAUAUAUAUAUAUAUAUUUAAUGCAUAUGAAUUUCUAUUCACAUCCAAUUAUGAUCUAAUAUUCUUAUAUAAAACCUCAUUCAAUUUAACAUGAGUAUAAUUACUUAUUUUAUUAUUUAUUAAUAUAUAUUAUAAUUAAUUAAUUAAUUUAUUUAUUUUAAAAAAAAAAACUAUGAAUGAUUGAUAUUUCCAUAAAAUCAAAACGUGAUGUAGACUAAUUGGUGCCUAGCGUUGACCCAAAGUCAAGUCUUUUCUCUAGUGUGGCAUUUUACACAUUUAUUUAUGAUUACCAAGACUUGGAAAAGCAACAUUAGGAAUUGGUGUUCCCCAAUUUUUUGUCAUCAGGUUUAAAAGAUAAAAUAGAGGGUAAGACAUGGAUUUAAAUUUUAUAAUCAGAUUAAAAAACCGAAAACAAUAUCUAUAAUCAAACAAUUUCACAUGUGUUUUGAAGUUUUAUUGUUUUAUUUAUUUAUAGAUUGAUUCAACAACCUAAAUUUUAUUAUAUAUAUUUAAUGAUUUAGAUUUUUUAUUUUAUAUGUAUAUUCUCUCUCUUAACAUUUUCUCAAAUUCCAUCAAUUCAUGAGUUUCCAAGAAGUAUCCCCUACUCCACUCCAUGAAACAUAUCUUGAAAAUGAAGUUGUCCCUUAGAAUAAAAUAUCUAUCCUCAAGACUUAAGACCUCAAACCUAAAGCUAAGGAUAGACCUCCAACCACCAUCUGGAGGACAUUAAUUAGUCUUGUUUUCUUAAUUUUUAUUUUCCAACCCCACUUUAACAACCGAAAAGAUUUACUUGUCUUUAUUUAUGAUUUAAAAAUAAAUAAAUUCAACUUUAUAUUAACUUGACUUUCAAAUAUACUAUUUAACCGUUGGUUUUCAUCUUUCCCACCCAUCUUCCUCCCAACUCAUAGAGAAGCGGUAAGGAACUCAAUGUCACCAAAAUGCGGAAACCACCAUUUUUAUUUACCAAAAUUCCAUUCCCCGCUCUAUUUCUCCUCCUCGUCUUCUCCUUAACCUUUCAAGUAAUUUCCCAAAAUCUAGAUGCUGAACGAUCAAUCCUACUAGACGUUAAACAACAACUGGGCAAUCCACCGUCACUCCAAUCGUGGAAUUCCUCAUCCUCGCCCUGUGAUUGGCCGGAAAUUACAUGCAUCGACAAUAUCGUCACUGAAAUUUCACUCAGCUACAAGACCAUCACAAAGAAAAUUCCGGCCAGAAUUUGUGACCUCAAGAACCUAAUCGUACUUGACGUCUCCUACAAUUACAUUCCAGGCGAGUUCCCGGAUAUUCUCAAUUGCUCUAAGCUCGAAUAUCUCCUCUUGUUGCAAAACUCCUUCGUGGGUCCAAUUCCAGCUGAUAUUGAUCGACUUUCACGUCUCCGAUACCUAGACCUCACCGCAAACAACUUCUCUGGAGAUAUUCCCGUAGCAAUUGGGCGGCUACGGGAGCUGUUCUACUUGUUUCUGGUUCAAAAUGAGUUCAACGGCACCUGGCCAACGGAGAUUGGUAAUUUGUCAAAUCUUGAACAAUUGGCCAUGGCCUAUAAUGACAAAUUCCGGCCUUCAGCCCUUCCAAAGGAGUUUGGCGCAUUGAAGAAGCUGAAGUAUCUGUGGAUGACGAAGGCAAAUUUGAUGGGCGAAAUACCGGAGAGCUUCAACAAUCUAUCGAGUCUGGAACUCUUGGACCUCUCAAACAACAAAUUGGAAGGUACGAUCCCGGGAGGCAUGCUUACAUUGAAGAAUUUGAACUAUUUUCUUUUAUUCAUUAAUAGAUUGUCCGGCCACAUUCCUUCAUCCAUAGAAGCUCUCAACUUGAAAGAAAUUGAUCUUUCCGACAACCAUUUGACGGGGUCCAUACCAGCGGGUUUCGGGAAGCUACAAAAUUUGACGGGUUUGAAUCUUUUCUGGAAUCAGUUGUCAGGAGAGAUACCAGCAAAUAUAAGCCUCAUUCCUACACUUGAAACUUUCAAAGUUUUUAGCAAUCAAUUGAGUGGAGUUUUACCUCCAGCAUUUGGCCUUCAUUCGGAGCUCAAACUCUUUGAGGUUUCCGAGAAUAAACUAAGCGGGGAAUUACCUCAACAUUUAUGCGCUAGGGGGACUUUGCUUGGAGUGGUCGCUUCCAACAACAAUCUCAGCGGGGAAGUGCCCACGUCCCUCGGGAAUUGCACAAGUUUGCUCACCAUUCAACUUUCCAACAAUCGUUUUUCAGGCGGGAUUCCUUCCGGCAUCUGGACAUCCCCGGACAUGGUAUCGGUGAUGUUAGAUGGAAAUUCAUUCUCAGGGACACUUCCAAGUAAAUUGGCAAGGAAUUUGUCUAGAGUGGAGAUCGCUAACAACAAGUUUUAUGGUCCAAUUCCUGCUGAAAUCUCUUCCUGGAUGAACAUCUCUGUGCUCAAUGCCAGCAACAAUAUGUUGUCUGGAAAAAUUCCAGUGGAAUUGACCAGUCUUUGGAACAUCACUGUUCUGUUGCUUGAUGGGAAUCAAUUCUCGGGUGAACUUCCAUCCCAGAUCAUCUCAUGGAAGUCGCUCAAUAAGUUAAAUCUCUCAAGAAACAAACUUUCUGGCCUAAUUCCCAAGGCAUUAGGUUCUUUAACUAGCCUUAGUUACCUCGACCUGUCAGAAAACCAGUUCUCAGGUCAAAUUCCUCCUGAACUUGGCCAUUUGAACCUUAUUAUCCUCCAUCUUUCGUCCAACCAACUGUCUGGGAUGGUCCCCAUUGAGUUUCAACAUGAAGCAUAUGAAGACAGUUUCUUGAACAAUCCCAAGUUGUGUGUCAAUGUUCCCACUUUGAACCUCCCUAGAUGUGAUGCCAAACCCGUCAACUCCGACAAAUUGUCAACCAAAUAUCUCGUUUUCGCUCUAUCUGGUUUCCUAGCUGUUGUUUUCGUCACCCUGUCCAUGGUUCAUGUCUAUCAUAGGAAGAAUCACAAUCAGGAGCAUACAGCUUGGAAAUUUACUCCAUACCAUAAACUAGAUCUCGAUGAAUACAACAUAUUGUCCAGUUUGACAGAAAAUAAUCUGAUCGGAUGUGGUGGGUCAGGGAAAGUAUACCGAGUUGCUAAUAACCGUUCUGGUGAACUCUUAGCGGUUAAAAUGAUUUGUAAUAAUAGGAGAUUGGAUCAAAAGCUUCAGAAACAAUUCGAAACAGAAGUCAAGAUAUUGAGCACCAUACGCCAUGCCAAUAUAGUGAAGUUGUUGUGCUGCAUAUCAAAUGAAACCUCAAGUCUUCUUGUUUACGAGUACAUGCAGAAGCAGAGUUUGGAUAGAUGGCUUCAUGGGAAGAAGCAGAGAACAUCGUCCAUGACAAGUUCAGUUCAUAACUUUGUCUUGGAUUGGCCAACAAGGUUGCAGAUUGCUAUCGGAGCUGCAAAAGGCCUAUGCCACAUGCAUGAAAACUGCUCUGCCCCGAUCAUACAUCGAGAUGUGAAGUCCAGCAACAUCUUGCUAGAUGCCGAGUUCAACGCGAAAAUUGCAGAUUUUGGAUUGGCCAAGAUGUUGGUCAAGCAAGGAGAGCCAGACACCAUGUCAGGAAUUGCAGGCUCUUACGGAUAUAUUGCCCCUGGUAAGACCAUCAAGGCCCUCCUUUCCAAAUGUUUUCAUUUCCAUAAUUUAUCGAUAAGUUGUAUCAUACCAUUCUUGUAUACUUGGAUGAUAGAGUAUGCUUAUACAACAAAGGUGAACAAGAAGAUCGAUGUAUAUAGCUUUGGAGUAGUCUUGCUUGAGCUUGUGACGGGGAGAGAACCCAACAAUGGGGACGAGCACGUGUGCCUUGCAGAAUGGGCAUGGGAUCAGUUCAGAGAAGAGAAAACCAUUGAGGAAGUGAUGGAUGAGGAGAUCAAGGAAGAAUGUGAUAGAGCACAAGUGGCCACUCUCUUCAAACUAGGCAUUAGGUGCACUAACAAAUUACCAUCCAAUAGGCCCACAAUGAAAGGGGUUUUGAAAAUUCUUCAACAGUGCAGUCCUCAAGAGGGCCAUGGAAGAAAUAAAAAGGACCAUGAAGUUGCACCUCCACUUCGAAAUGACACUUACCCCACCACUUACAAGUUGUGAGGAUAAAGCCCUUAAAAACAUGAUAUGAUGUAAUAAAUUUGGAAGUCAUUAUUUAUUUAAUGAUGUUCCGAUUUCACUUUUAUCUAUCCUUAUUCCAUAUAUUAUACUUUAUGAGCAUUCUUGCCUGCAUCUUUUGCAUUGCACGUAACUUAGGUGCAUUAAGAGUUGCACAGAAGAUCUAGGUCAUGGGUUCCUUGCAAAUAUAUGACUUGUUCACAACCAGUUCAUGGGUCUAGGAAGCCCAUUAGGGGUUGUAAUAAUCCACUUCCUAAUUGGAAGAAUGGCUAGUCUUAGCUAUUGGGAUGAGUUUCCCAUGGUAAGUGCAUUAGUGUGUAUGAUUACAUAUUGGACAUGACCUAUGGUGAAUCAUGAAUUAAGGUUAUCAAGCAGUCAUGACCUCAUCAAACUACUUCAUUAUAUUGUCUCUCAACCUUGAGAGAAUAUCGAGCUCGUACUAAAGUUAGCAAUGACUUUGACAUACGAGUGAGAUCGUAAGUUGAUCAUAUAUUCCCUAUGGAUUGAGUCAUUGUUGAUGGAAAAUGGUAGCAAUAGGUAUUUUCAAUAAAAACACCAUGAUGUCUCUUGGGAUUAAGACAAUGUGCCCCUUUUGGUGAUCCUAAAGAGGUGUGUUUAUGGAAACUAUGGUCAUAGUAGUUCCUUAAGUAAAACUCGACAUAGGCUCUUUGAGAGCUAAGACAUGUCAAUUGAAUACACAAUAGAAGGAUUUAUAACUCAAGGAUGGUAGAGGUAGUCUUGAAAGACUAAUAACUUUUACUUUGUUAGACUAUGAAUAUCAGUUCAUGGGAAGACUAAACACAAUAAAUAGCAAGUCACAAACCUGAACAUUUGGUAUCUCAUUGUUAUUUUCAAUAAAAUAACAAUGAGAUGGUAAGUUGAUCAUAUAUACCCUAUGGAUUGGGUUAUUGUUGAUGGAAGAUGGUAGCAAUAGGUAUUUUCAAUAAGCACCAUAAUAUCUCUUGGGAUUAAGAUAGUGUGCCCCCUUGGGUAAUCUUAAAAAGUGUGUUCAUGGAAACUAUGGUCAUAGUAAUUCAUUAAGUAAAACUCAACAUAGGCUCUUUGAGAGCUAAGACAUGUCAAUUGAAUACACAAUGGAGGAUUUAUAACUCAAGGAUGAUAGAGGUAGCCUUGAAAGACUAAUAACUUUCACUUUGUUAGACUACGAACAUCAGUUCAUGGGGAGACUAAACACAAUAAAUAGCAAGUCACAAGCUCGAGCAUUUGGUAUCUCGUUGUUAUUUACAUAAGAUACGGGAGUUCAAUUGAUUCUCUGUAGUGGGAUGUUGAAUCAACUUUAGAAUUGGAUUUUGAGAGAGUCGGUAUUCUUAUGGGUUCCAAUGGUCCUUGCUCUAAGCUUAUAUACUUUGUUGGCAUGGGUUAUAAGAGUCGGAUUGACUCUAGGUUCACUUUUGUACAUAAAGGCAUUUUGAUAAUUACACAAGGUUACACAAAGGUAAGUGAACAAGGUUUUUAAAUUGGGUUAAUUGAUUAAUUAGUAGGCCUUGUUUAGUUAAUUAAUCAAUUAGGACUUUUUUUGGGCUAUAUUAAGUGACCUAAGCCCUUAGUGGGCUCAAGUCACUUAAACCUAAUAGAAAACCCUUUAAAUACCCCCUUAAGGGUUAGAGUUUAUAUAGUUUUUCUAAAGAGCCAUCUUCUAUCUCUAGAGAGAAAGAGAAAGAGUCAUAGCGUCCACCCUCCCUUCUAUCUCCACUAAAAGUGUGUCAAGAUCAAGGUUCAAGUCAUUGGGAGGAAGACUUUGGAUUUACGAGACUUCUGUGAUUUCGUUCUUCAUUUUCACCACGUGGAUUUGAUUUGAGAACAUACGAAUUUGAGGUAUGGUUUUCAUUAGCACUUUCUGAAUCCCUUUAAAGUUUAAAAAUGUUAUUUUUCCGUUGUGUAUAGGAUUAAUUUAGAAAAUGCUUAGAAUAGUUAUGCAUGUUCGUAACCUGAUCUGAGCUUAGGAAAUGGAGAGAUCCUAGUUUUUUCCCUCAAUGUUUGUGCUCCAAAGUGUUGAGAUAGUUUAGAGGGUGACAUGAUGAUUAACAUAAUACCUUAUAUGGAGAACCUAGUGAAUCCCUUCUCCAAGACAUUGAUAGGGAGAGUCUUUGCUAGUCACAUGGAUAGCAUAGGUUUCAGAUGAGUAUUUGGCAUGCUUUAAAGGCAUGAUACUUUGAGGGCUAAUAGGAGAAUGUUAGGAUAAAGCCCUUAAAAACAUGACAUGAUGUAAUAAAUUUGGAAUUCAUUAUUUAUUUAAUGAUGUUUUAGUUUCACUUUUAUCAAUCCUUAUUCCAUGUAUUAUACUUUAUGAGCAUUCUUGUCUGCAUUUUGUGCAUUGUACAUGACUUAAUUGCAUUAGGAGUUAUAUAGAAGAUCUAAGUCAUGGGUUUCUUGCAAAUAAAUGACUUGUUCACAACUGAUUCAUGGGUCUAGGCAACCCACUAGAGGUUAUAGUGCACCAUACCACCUUCUAAUUGGAGGGAUGACUAGUCUUAAUUAUCAGGAUGAGUUUCCCAUUGUGAGUGCAUUACUGUGUAUGGUUACACAUUAGACAAAACCUACAGUGAGUCAUGGCUUAAGGCUAUCAAGUAGUCAUGUCCUUACCAACCAACUUCAUUAUGUCGUCUCUCAACUUUAAGAUAAUAUUGAGUUUAUACUAAAGUUAGCAAUGGCUUUGACCUACAGGUGAAAUCAUAAGCUAAUCAUUUGGGUCAUUGUUGAUGGAAGUCGGUAGCAAUAGGUAUUCUCAAUAGAAAUACCAUGAUAUCUCAUGGGAUUUAGACAGUGUGUCCCCUUGAGUAAUCUUAAGAAAGUGUGUUCAUACAAACUAUGACCAUAGUAGUUCCUUAAGUGGAACUUGACAUAGACUCUUUGACAACUAAGACAUGUCAAUUAAAUAUAUAAUUGGACGAUCUGUAACUCAAAGAUAGUAGAGGUAAUCUUUAAGGAUUGAUAACUUUCACUUUAUUAGACUACAGACACUAAUUCAUGGGGAGACUAAACAUAAUGGAUAGCAGGUCAUGGACCCGAGUACGUAAUAUCUCGUUGUUAUUUACAUAGGAUAUUGGAGUUCAAUUGAUUCUCUAUGGUGGAAUGUUGAAUCAACUUUAGAAUUGGAUUUUGAGGAAGUCAGUACUCCUAUGGGUCCCAAUAGUCCACACUCUAAGCUCAUAUAACCUAUUGACACGGAUUAUGAGGGUCGGAUUGGCUUUAGGUUCAUUUUUGUGUAUAAGGGCAUUUUGAUAAUUACACAAGGUUGCAUAAGGGUAAGUGGACAAGGUCUCUAAAUUGAACUAAUUGAUUAAUUAAUAGGCCUUAUUGGGUUAAUUAAUCAAUUAGGACCCAUUUUGAGUUAGAUUAAGUGACCCAAGCCCAUGUGGGCUCAAGUCACUUAAGCAUACUUAGGAACCCUAUAUAUACCCCCUAAGGUUUAGGGUUCCCACAACUUUUGUCCUCCACCUGUUAGGAUAGAGCCCUUAAAAGUAUAACAUGAUGUAAUAAAUUUGGGAUUCUUUAUUUAUUUAAUGAUGUUCUAGUUUCACAUUAUUUAUUUAAUGUGAAGACAUUUGGAACCCAUCUCUCCUUCACAGAUUUAUCCAAAAGUUGCAUGCUCUGACUCAAGUUUCCAUGCAUACACAACCCUCUGAAGUGAUCAUCAACUCCAUUACCUUAGUAGUUUUUUCCAUGUCAAGCAUACAGUUAGUUUUGAGAGCGAGACCCAUUUUCACUAUGAACUCAAUGACUGUGCUUCGAUCAACUAGUUUGGCAUUUUCAUUUCUUUAUGGCAACCAAAUUUGGACUAGAUCUAACACUUGGCAGGCCAAAGGGCAUGAAUCAAAAACAGAGGAAAGCGACGGAAAAAAAAAAAAAAAACAAAGCACAAAUGGUUGAAACAAAACGAACUAAUAAAAGCCACAUUUUAUGUUUCAAUCAACCGACUUAGAUGUAGGUGAGUGAAACUAAAAAGAUUUUAAACAAGAACACAAGUAUUAUUCAGACAUUCUAUAGGAAAGCUACAACAGAGAUAAAUCAUGCUCAAACAUAACCAAAGGAAAUGAGGCAUGAAUCAACUAUAACCAAAUCACAGAAACCAAGAGAUUAACAAUAACAAGUGUGUGUCCUACGAUUAUCCAGACCCAAAACAUGGAAAAUUUUAGAAUCUAAUUGAUAAAUGAAAGAAAAAAAUGGAAAAAAUGGAGAUGAAGAAAAUUAAAUACACAAUUUAAAGGACUGAGAACCUGACCUGAACUCUUCUCUAAGAUUUAGCAAUUUAUGAAUGUAUCUUCAGGCCCCUGUAGACGAAUCCAUGCUUGGUGGUAGUAUGCUUAUUGAUGACAGUCUGGAGAUGUGGAAAUCAAAUGAUUCUGAUGAACUAAAUUUGAUGCGUGAUGAGAUAGAUGACGUGUUAUCUAAGGAUCACAAAGUUCAUCAAUAGAAACUCGUUUGAUGAUGCGUCAAUCUGAUGGAGAGAAUUCGUUGAUAAAAAAUGAUGAAAUGCCAAUUUGAAGAUAGUGACUGCGAUUCAUCUCCGGAGAUGAAUCUAAUGAGAACGUUCAGGAGUCAUAAAUGGAGAGUGUAGGGACCCCUCCCCUUGGGAAACACGUGGCACGCAGCUCAUAGUGACGCGUGGCACGUGUUAUCAGCCGGACCGUCAUUAUCCGGAUUCCCCUAAGGAUAUGCAUGGUGCAGAUAUCCUAUCCGGACCGCCUCAAGGAAAGGCAAACGACGUUUCAUCUUCUCCUAUCCAAGGAAGAGCAAACGACGUUGGCAGAGCGUACACAUCCGGAUAGUCUCCACAACACAUCCGGAUAGUCAACAUGAGCCAUCCGGAUAUAAAUCUUCUGGAUGGUCAAUUAAAGUAAAGCGAGUCUUACACGCAAUCACAACAAGCAGCCAUGGCCCACAUCCCAUCACCUGCAGAAUGAGAAGACAAGAGGAAGUGACAGCAAGUCACUUCCCACGAUCAUUCUGCAUAAUCGCUUCCCACGAUCUCUGACGGCCGCAUCACCUACCAUAGUCUCUGACAGCCAUUCAUAGGAUGAUAGUGCUCCUACUAACACCUAUUGUCAUCAUCACAACAGAAAAGAUCUCCUCACCAUUAAUGAGAGGAACAGUACCCCUGAAGCUGGAUAUAUAUACCUUCGCACGAAGAAGAAAGGGGAUCUCCUGGUAAUCUCUUGAUACCUAGAAAAAGGCCAACUGAUUUAUAUAUCUCUUUCUCACCAUGGCUAACAAAACCAUCGGAGGGUGCGUCCGGACACCCUGUCCGAAUGCCUUUUGCAGGUGCAACCACUGAAUCAAGAACCCCUUGUGUGUUGAGAAUCACGUAUCCAUCCAUAUAGCAGCAACGUGGACCAUCGGAUACGCGAGGUGACAACAGAGAGCUCUAAUGGCGGUGGUGAUUUGCAGCAAUGUCAAUCUCUGGUGGCAGUGACAGCAAGCUCUAAUGGUGGUAAACUACGCCAACAGAGACAAUCUCCAUGAAUUGCACAACAAACUUCAAUGGCGAUCUCCAAUGGUGGUGAUGAAUUCUCCUACAACAAUGAACUCUCAUUCUCCUGUAGAGAUGAACUCUCAGAUGUUGGUGAAUUAUUUUUAUAUAUUUUUUUAAUAAAUUUUAAAUGAAAUAAAAUAAAUAAAUUUUAAAUUUUUAUACAUUUUUUUAAACUCAUUUAACUUAUUUUAAUUUUUCAAUUAUAAAAUUAAAUAAUUUGAAAAUAUAUAAAUUUCUAACUAAUUUUAAUUAUAUUUUAUUUUCUUUUAUAAUUUUCAUAUAUAGUAUAACCAGUACCAAUGUUUUCAAAAUCAGACCGGCGCUUGAACCAGAAAAGUUACCAGUUCAUGAUUUACGGUUCAUUAGUUGAACUGGUGGUCAAACCGCGGUCGAAUCAAUGACAUCAUAAAUAAUAAUUUUUUUUCUUUUUUCUCACUAACUAAUCCCACAUCAGAAAUGGAUAAAAAAUAUGUAGGAAUUGUGGUAUAAAAGGCAAGCUAGAAUCAUUAACUUGCAAGACUAAAAGCUUAUUGGGCUUGAUGACAAACGGGUUGGAUGGGCUCCUCAUGGAAUGAUCCGGUUCUCUUAUGGUAUCAAAACUUUUUUUUUUGGCUUUAAAAUAAAUAAAUAAAUAAACUGUUCGGUUCGCUAAGAAUCGCCCGAUUGGGGCAGUUCACUAGUUCAACCGCUGGUUUUGUUACCGAUCGGACCAACUGGUCCAGUCCGAUUUUUAAAUCAUUAUCAAAUACAAUAAAAUAAUUUUCCUUAACAUUUCUUUUAUUUUUUUAAGUACUUCUCAAGAAUCAAACAUAAUCAUAAGACUAAUCAUAUUUUUUAUUAUAAGAUCAUUCGAAUACAAUGCCCCAAGUGAGAAUCUCAAAACGUUUGUCAAUGUUUUACUAAUAUUAAGAUUUUGAAAAUCUAUACAAUUUCUUUUUCUUUUUUUCUUUUUUUAAUAUUUGGAUGAUAGAGCAUGAGUAUACAAGAAAGGUCAAUGCAAAGAUCAAUGUCUACAAUCUUGAAAUUGCACUUCUAGAGUUGGGCCCUAAAAGAGAACCCAAUAGGGGGGAGGGGUAGCAUAUAAACCUUCCUCAAUGGGCAUGGCAACACCUUGGAGAAGGAAAGUUAUAAGUGAAAGCACUGGAUGAGGAGAUCAUGGCACAAUGCUACUUCAAAAAAAUGAGUACUAUGUUCCCAAUAAUCAAACUUUAUCAUGAAAAUGUUGAUAAUAGCGAGGAUUAUCUUAUUUACAAGUAUAGAGACAAAUAGGCAAAAGGUAAAUAAAUUAUUAAUAGAGCUUAAAAUAAUAAAUUAAGCAAAUAAACAUAUGGUAAGAUCGAAACUCAUUAUCCUUCUACUAAAUAAAAUUCUAAUACCAUAUUGGAUAACUAAAUUUUUUAAGAACUUAAACUUAAGAUUUGGAUCCUUAUGAUUGUAUAUCACAUUUUCUAAUAAUAUAUCAAAUACUUUUCUAGAUUUUGUGUUGACUUGUGAUUACUUCUCUAAAUCAAUUUUUCAGCAUCUUGUAUAUAUGUAUUUGUUAGGAUGAAUCUGUCACGCCCCAAGACCCACUCCAAGGGCGUGACGGUCAUUUCACACCUCAAACCCGAAGGCUUAAAGUAUAAUCUGACCCAAACAAUCAUAUUGUAACUGGAUGUUACCAAUUACCAAAUACCUGUUCAGAGUAGCGGAACAAAAUCUAAAAUCCUCAAAAUUCAAUUUCCAAAUAACUUCCAAAUAUCAAAUGAUCCAAAUGAACAUAACUAACAGUUAAACAAAAUCCAACAUAAAAUCCUAAGUCAAAUCCUAAUGAUGACCAUUCCUCAGCCUAGCCAUCACUCCUCACCCGAACUAAGAGUACCUGAAAAAUUUUCAACAAUUGGGAAUGAGCUCACAGCCCAAUAAGGAAUAUUAAUGCAAUUCAUGGAUCAAAUAUUUUCAUUUCAAAUAGGAGAUAUCAAUUUUUUUUUUUCUCAUCGAAUAUCAGAGUUUCAAAAAUACCAAUAUAUUCAAAAUUCAACCAACCAAUUUCAUAUCAAAUUCAAACACUUUCACAUCAGACUCAAUCAAAUCCAUUCAAUUUUUUCAUUACUCUGGUUAUCAAAUAUCAAAUGCCCAGUUAGGUGGGACUUUUCAAAUGGGUGGCUAGCCUCAAAUUGUUCCUGGUGGACGAAACCAAACACUACUAGUACUAGUAACCUCUAACCAAACCCCUAGAGGCUGGGGUCCAAAUCAAUUACAUUCCCACCAUGAAAUGUAAAGGUCAACUAUUAUAGCCCGUUGACAGGGCCGAAUAGUCAACUAUUAUAUCCCGUUGACAAGGGCCAAACAAACCAGAGUGAUGUUUUUGUUCAAGUAUUCAAAUUUACACAACAUAAUAUCUCCAUAUUUUGUGUCAUAAAUAAAACAAAAUAUUCCAACAUAAUAUUCAGUGCAAAACAAUUUGAUCCAUGCAUGGUAACAAAAUAUCAUUUUCUUUUCCACAAUUCAAAAUAACAUAUAAAAUAAUUUAAUUUUAUAAAUAUUGCAUUAACUUCCCUUACCUCAAAAGAAGUCCUUGAAAGCUUGGGAGAAGAAUAAUUCUGAAAAAAAUAUAAUCUACUCUUCACCUAAUAUAACAUAAGAGAAACAAUUAUUACUAUUUAUUUAUAAUUUAACUAAUUUAUUCCUUAUUUAAAUAAAACUAAUAAAUUCCCAAUUUGUUUCUAAUAACACACUACUAAUUUAAUUAAAUUACAAUUUUAUUUCAUUAUAAAAUUCUAUAUAUAUAUAUAUAUAUAUAUAUAUAUAUAUAUAUAUAUAUAUAUAUAUAUUGCUAAAUCUAUUAUUACUAUUAUCUUAAUUAUUAAUCUGAAACUAAAUAUCAUUAUUUUAUUAAUUACCUAAUUUGAGGCUAAAUCAUUAUUACAAAAAAUAUAUUAUUAUAUAUUUUGCUAAAUCUCUUACAUGUAUGGGGUACACACCAAACAAGUAAAACAAAGCAAAAAAAUUUUUUUUUUCCAUUGCCAUCAUCAUAAUAAUGAAUCAUUAUAUAUAUAUAUAUAAGUCUCCUUCCAUCCGGGCACACGCCCAAAUUUUUUUUUUUUUUAUUUUCCUUCCUUCCAAUGCUGUGCACACGCGUUCUCCUUUUUUUUUUUUUUUUAAUUAACCCUAACCUAAAAUUGAAAUAUUCCAAGGAAUUUUUUUUUUCUAAUAAAACUUAAGAUCUCCCAAAUUCCAAUACUAAAAUCAAAAUAUUAAAUUUUCACUAUUUGAUAUUAAAACGAAUUAAAAAAAAUAAUCUAACCCUAAUCUAGAUUUGGGGUUUUCCAAAAAAAAUAUAUCUAAUGUGUUUGAAAUUAAUCAAUGAAUCUAAAAUAUUAAACUAGGGGUUAGAAUCUUACCUAUAGAGAUUUUUUCUUCAACCCUGAAAUCUGACUCCAACCUUACGUUUUCUGAAAUUCUGCGAAUAGGAACUCUAUUCAGAAAAGAAGGGAAAAAAUAAAAUUUCUAAUUUAUACCUAGGGUAUUUAUUCGUAAAAUUACACUUUUACCCCUCUUCCACUUUAUUAAAUUAAUUAAUUAACUAAUUAAAUUAUUAAUAACAAUUUCCUAAAUUACCCUUAAAAGAAAAUGCCUGGGCGUUACAGAAUCAAUUAUCAAUGAAUGCAAAAAUGCAACUCCUCAUAGAGUCUCUUGCUUAUUUCCUCUACAACUUAAUUAGAAAAACUUAAAAGAACUCCAGAGUGAUUUCACAAAGAAAUAGGAUAAUUAUUUUAUCUUCAAACCUGCAAAAAAGAUAUGGAAACCGUAUCAUUGAAAUAAUUAAAACAGAAAACAAUUGGAAUCAAAGUGCUAUUGCCUUAUUUUAAAAACAAAAAAUAAAUAAAAUAAAUCUUAGGUUUUAUGCAAAACUAAAUAUUAGUUGCCUAAAGCUCCUUAUUUGGAAUACUAGAUGGGUGUCAAGCAUCAUUUCAACUCGGCACCUCCUUCGGUAAAUACCAAAAAUAAUAUUUGUUUUGGGAACAAGACUAGAGUUUUGAGCGGAUAUAAUAUAUUUUAAAAAAAUACACAAAAUAGAUUUCCAAGUAAAAUAAUUCUCAAGCUAGUAUAUUUCAGCUACAUGGGCAUCCAUAUGGUCGUAGAUUUUUUUUUUUUUAAUGUUGGUCUAUGUCAUAAAACUUUAAUUAGUAACUACGAUUUUGAUUUUUUAAAACAUAAAAUGAUAGUUAGAUAUUAUAGUUUUAAAUUUAUUUUUAAAAUCAUAAUCAUCAAUUACGAUUAUAAACUUAAAUUUAAAACCUUAGUUGGUAACUAAUGUUUUGACCGUUUUACAACAAAAUCAAAAUUAUAGUUCACAACUAUGAUCAUGUGAUAUAGAUACAAGUGUCAAUAAAACACUCCAAUUUGAAAAUUAUUUUGAGAGGGGAUCUACUUUGUAGAUUUUUAUUUGUUCAAAUAAAUUAUUUUUCCUCAAGGCUUAGAAAACUAACUUGUUUAGAACUAAAUUCAAUUAUACACUCUCCUAAUUUUUCUUUUUAUAAGAUCAAAUCCACGUUAUCAGUUUUCCACUAGAAUCCUCAUGAUUACUUGUAGAAUUGUUGAGAUGAAAUGGAAGUGUGGUAUGAGAUGCAUGCUUGUUUAAACUUCAGUUUCAAUCUUGGUCAAUGCUGUCCAUUCCCUUAGAUGUGCAGGAUGUGGAACCACUGCUGGAUCCUGUUGUGAGACUUGACCAUCAAUAUCCUUUUGGACUUGUGAAAGCAACCUUCCCCCGUUUUCUUGACGCAACCUGCUACUUCCACGUGAGCAUGCCAAACACGCUUAGGGCCUGUUUGUUGGUGUUUUCAAAUACAUUUUUGGAAACAGUUUUUACUGUUUUCAGAAAUAAAAUUAUGUUUAUUUAUUCUCAAAAAUAAAAAGAAUAAAAAAAAAAUAUUUAGUUCAGUUAAUAAAAAUAAUUUUUAAUAACAAAUAAAACAAAAAAACUUGUUUGGAAAAUAUUAUUGUUGGUUUUGUUUUUUAAAGUUGAGUAUUUUAUUUAACUAAUUGAUAUUGUAAAUAUAUAAAUAAUUUUUCUUCGUAAAAAUAAAAAUGUUCCAUUCUAAACAUUUUUUGCAUCGGUUUUAAUUUUUUUAAACAAAUUAUUACUUUGUAAACAUGUCUAAAUAUGUUUGAUUUCAAUAAUUGAUAAACCAUCUUAUCAAAAUAUCAUAAAUCGGUAAAUAUCAAUAAUUGGAUUUUAUGAAGAUAAAAUUUAUGAUAUCAAAUAAUAAUGCAUUAUACUUGGAAACCGAUGAUUUAUCUUUUCUACUAAUAAUAUAUUUAUGAUAAUUUUUUAUUUAAAAAUAUUUAUAAUUUUAUUUUAUAUUUAAGAAUUAUAUAAAAGAUAAAAAAAUUAAAGUAAAUCAAACUAAUUUAUUUAUAAAAAAUUAUUAAUUUUUAUAAAUUUACAUAUUAUAUAUAUAUAUAUAUAUAUAUAUACGACAGGAAUCCUUGUACUCUUUUCUCUCAUUCUCCUUAUGUUCUCCGUUUAUCUUCCAAGGCCCAAACUUUUAUUCACUAAGGUUGAACCAUUUCUCUCCUCAAAUAUUAACUCACUAAAGUCAAAAUUUAGAUCUAUGAUUGUUGUUAAGAUUCUUGGUUAGGAUUUCAUCUUUUGUGUUAUUGUUUAUGUUUUUGUUUGGUUUUUGAGAAAUCCUAGAAUUUAUGAAAGUUUCUGCUUUGAAAUACAUUAAAAAAAAUCAUAUCAGGAUAAAAUCCCAAAAUAUCCGAAAAAUAUUGAAAUGGAAAUGAAGAAAAAAUAAAUAUAAAUAAAACUUGUUGAUUAAGUUGAAUUUUUUUUAAACCGAAUUUUCAAUUUUCUAAUUUUUCUCAUUUUCCUUGGCAGUGUAAAAAAAAAAAAAAGAUAAGAGCACAUAGAGAACACGACAACAACACAAAAAACAUCAUUUUAAAACCAGGUUUUAGAAAACACAUAAAACACUUGAGAACAAAAAACACUCUUUUAUAAAACAUGAUUUUUGUGUUUUUUGUUCUAAAAAAAGAAAACAAUUUUUGGAAAUACCAACCAAACAAGCCCUUAAUGACUCAUUUUUCUUUUAUUUAUUUAUUUUAUUUUUUUGCUUAUUUGUUUAUUCUCUUGUCUGUUUUUAUUUUUAAAGAAAUAAAAAUAUUUUUCAAAAAAAUAAAAAAAAUAAAAUUAAAGAAUGUUCUCCAAACUAAAUGAAUAUUAUAGAACCCGACCAACAACAUACUAAACAAAAUGUAAAAAUCUAAAAAUAUGUUUGGUAGUAAUUGUUUUUAAUAUUUUUAAUACCUAAAAAUGAAAAAAUUUAGUGUUAAAAAAUGAAAAAUAUUUUAUAAAAUCACUGUAAAACUUAUUCUAAAUUAUUGAACUAAAUACGAAAAUAACAUAUCAUGCACGAAAAUAAGAUGAAGCAAAAAUAACUUGUAAUGUACACCUUGGGAAACACAUGAUAUUUUAGCAUCGUGUAGCAGAUUGCAAAAUCAAAUUUCGUGAGGAAUCAGGUGCCCAUAAAUCUCGUAUCUUCAUAAUGGCAUAUAGAGGAAAGUCAAGGUAAACGAAACCAUCAUAUUCUUCAACUUGCAGCCAACCAAAUAUGUUCAAGUCCAUUCAAUACAGUCCAUAAAAAUUUUAUUUUAUUUUUACAAAUUUUUUUUUCUUUCUAGAAUUCGAAUCUGAGCCUCACGACUAAAACCGAAUACGUACAAAGCAUCUAUUCUAAAAAUAAAAAAAUUAAAUUGAAUUAAAAAUUUUGGAUAUUAUAAAGCAGAAUACGUACAAAUUCUGUUGAAAGGUGAGUCAUAACAGUUAAAAAUUUAUAUAUAAUUUUUAUAUAUAUUUUAAUUAGUUUUCAAUUUUGGAUAUUAUCAAAUAAAAUUUUUAUGUAUAAUUUACUUUAGUCAGUAUUGUCCAACAUAAUUAAAUAAUACCAUGGUGGCUUAGGUUAAUUCCAAAAUGAUGGUAAUGGACUAAUGACAGAAAAAUUAUCAUACAAAAUACCUAGGCAACCAUAGGUGAAAAAAAAAGUAAUAUAAAUUCCAUAUAUUAUUAUUUAAUAUUAAUUUUCAGUCACCAUCAUAUGAUUUUUCAUAAAAUAAAAUAAAAAGGUAAAAAGUAAAUGUUCAUUAUGUUUGUUAGUAUAGUAUCAAAAGAAACUUAUUAAAUUUUUAGAAAUAUAAUUUAGAUUUAAAAGUAAUUGUAAAAAUUUGAAAAUAAGACUUAUAUUAUGAAAACAUUAAAAAAUAUUAUAAUUUAACCACAAAGAUAAUGAGUAUGACUAAGAUCGACGAUUAGGAAAAGAGAUUUUAUAAAAAAAAAAAUAUAUAUUUUGAAGUAUCUUACAUGGAUCAUUGAUUUUUAUUCAAAUUUUAAACAAAUUCAUACUAAUUUGGUUCUGGUUCUACUUGUUUCUGGUUCAAAAUGAGUUCAACGACACCUGGCCAACGGAGAUUGGUAAUUUGGCGAAUCUUGAACAAUUGGCCAUGGCCUAUAAUGACAAAUUCCGGCCUUCAGCCCUUCCAAAAGAGUUUGGCGCAUUGAAGAAGCUGAAAUAUCUGUGGAUGACGGAGGCGAAUUUGAUUGGCGAAAUACCGGAGAGCUUCAACAAUCUAUCGAGUCUGGAACUCUUGGACCUCUCAGUCAACAAAUUGGAAGGUACGAUCCCGGGAGGCAUGCUUACGUUGAAGAAUUUGAACUAUUUGCAUUUAUUCAUUAAUAGAUUGUCCGGCUACAUUCCUUCAUCCAUAGAAGCUCUCAACUUGAAACAAAUUGAUCUUUCCGACAACCAUUUGACGGGGUCCAUACCAGCGGGUUUCGGGAAGCUACAAAAUUUGACGGGUUUGAAUCUUUUCUGGAAUCAGUUGUCAGGAGAGAUACCAGCAAAUAUAAGCCUCAUUCCUACACUGGAAACCUUCAAAGUUUUUAGCAAUCAAUUGAGUGGAGUUUUGCCCCCAGCAUUUGGCCUUCAUUCGGAGCUCAAAUUCUUUGAGAUUUUUGAGAAUAAACUAAGUGGGGAAUUACCUCAACAUUUAUGCGCUAGGGGGGCUUUGCUUGGAGUGGUCGCUUCCAACAACAAUCUCAGCGGGGAAGUGCCC
rnacentral:lncRNA from 1 species